GCCCGGAUGGUCUAGCGGUAUGAUUCUCGCUUAGGGUGCGAGAGGUCCCAGGUUCGAUCCCUGGUUCGGGCC
rnacentral:tRNA from 1 species